UUCACAGUAUGCAUGUUUGCUUGAGAGCACAGUGUCGGAAGUUUUGUUGCCCAAGUGCUUGGCUAAUGUAUCCAUUUUAUUUUUUAGUUUUUUUUAAUGGAACUCAUAAUAGGAAAAUAAAUUUAAUUUUGUGAUGGUAAAUGCUAGUCAAAGAGCUAAUAUUAUGUCAAGUAUCGGAUUUCAUACUUACUUGAGAAGGGCAACUUUGCUUAUGAUCCACUGUGCAGGGAGCUUCUGGGAAGUUGCUGUGGAGGAAUAUCAAGAUGUAGAACCCCCAAC
rnacentral:lncRNA from 1 species